rnacentral:hammerhead_ribozyme from 1 species
AUCUAGCUGACGAGUCCCAGACAGGACGAAAGGUUCAUCAAACUGGAU